CCUACGGGAGGCAGCAGUAAGGAAUCUUCCACAAUGGACGAAAGUCUGAUGGAGCAACGCCGCGUGCAGGAUGAAGGCUUUCGGGUCGUAAACUGCUUUUAUAUGGGAAGAUUAUGACGGUACCAUAUGAAUAAGGACCGGCUAACUACGUGCCAGCAGCCGCGGUAAUACGUAGGGUCCAAGCGAUAUCCGGAAUUACUGGGCGUAAAGCGUGUGUAGGUGGAUUAAUAAGUGUGAUGCGAAAUCCGGCGGCUCAACCGUUUGGACUGUGUCGCAUACUGUUAGCCUAGAGGACGGCAGAGGUAAGUGGAAUUACGGGUGUAGCAGUGAAAUGCGUAGAUAUCCGUAGGAACACCAAUGGCGAAGGCAGCUUACUGGGCCACACCUGACACUGAGACACGAAAGCGUGGGGAGCGAACAGGAUUAGAUACCCUGGUAGUCCACGCCGUAAACGAUGCAUACUAUUAGUAUGGGGUAUCGACCCCCUGUGCUGAGAAGCUAACGCGAUAAGUAUGCCGCCUGGGGAGUACGAGCGCAAGCUUAAAACUCAAAGGAAUUGACGG
rnacentral:rRNA from 1 species